CCCAGACAGCCAGGAUGUUGGCUUAGAAGCAGCCAUCAUUUAAAGAAAGCGUAAUAGCUCACUGGUCGAGUCGGCCUGCGCGGAAGAUGUAACGGGGCUAAACCAUGCACCGAAGCUGCGGCAGCGAACGUAUCACUUAAAGCGAUUCAGCGGGUUACGAUUGACGGAGCGAAGCGACGUCAAAGCGUAUACAAAGUCGAGUUGGCUUAGGGAUACGUUCGUUGGGUAGGGGAGCGUUCUGUAAGCCUGUGAAGGUGUGUCGUGAGGCAUGCUGGAGGUAUCAGAAGUGCGAAUGCUGACAUAAGUAACGAUAAAGCGGGUGAAAAGCCCGCUCGCCGGAAGACCAAGGGUUCCUGUCCAACGUUAAUCGGGGCAGGGUGAGUCGACCCCUAAGGCGAGGCCGAAAGGCGUAGUCGAUGGGAAACGGGUUAAUAUUCCCGUACUUGGUGUUACUGCGAAGGGGGGACGGAGAAGGCUAUGUUGGCCGGGCGACGGUUGUCCCGGUUUAAGCGUGUAGGUGUGUGUUCCAGGUAAAUCCGGUUCACUUUAACACUGAGGCGUGAUGACGAGGCACUACGGUGCUGAAGCAACAAAUGCCCUGCUUCCAGGAAAAGCCUCUAAGCAUCAGGUAACACGAAAUCGUACCCCAAACCGACACAGGUGGUCAGGUAGAGAAUACCAAGGCGCUUGAGAGAACUCGGGUGAAGGAACUAGGCAAAAUGGUGCCGUAACUUCGGGAGAAGGCACGCUGACACGUAGGUGA
rnacentral:rRNA from 1 species